GAUGAAGAACGUAGCGAAAUGCGAUACGUAAUGUGAAUUGCAGAAUUCAGUGAAUCAUCGAGUCUUUGAACGCACAUUGCGCCCUCUGGUAUUCCGGAGGGCAUGCCUGUCCGAGCGUCAUUGCUGCCCUCAAGCACGGCUUGUGUGUUGGGCCCCGCCCCCCGAUCCCGGGGGGCGGGCCCGAAAGGCAGCGGCGGCACCGCGUCCGGUCCUCGAGCGUAUGGGGCUUUGUCACCCGCUCUGUAGGCCCGGCCGGCGCUUGCCGAUCAACCAAACUUUUUUCCAGGUUGACCUCGGAUCAGGUAGGGAUACCCGCUGAACUUAAGCAUAUCAAUACGGAGGA
rnacentral:misc_RNA from 1 species